UUAAUAAUUUGAUUAUUGUUUAUUUUUUAAUUAAAAUAUUCUUAGUUUUAUUAAUUAUUUUGAAUAAAUUUUAUUUAUUAUAGUGUAGUAGUAAAGUGGUUGAAUUUUGAGAAAUUAUUUAUUUUAAAUAAAGAAGAGUUGAUUUUUUGUACCUUGUGUAUCAGGGUUGAUUUAUUUUACAUUAAUUAAUUAAUUUUCCCGAGUUAGAAAGAGCUAAGUAGUUAUGGAUUUAAUUGUUUCAUAAAUUUUUUAAAUAAUUUCUUAGAAAUGAAACGUUAUUCGUUUUCUAAAAUAUUUGGUUUUUCAAGAAAUGAAUUUAAUUCAGUUAUUUUUGAGUUAAGGGUUUAUUUUAAACUUUUAUUUUAAAGUAUUAAAUAUUUAAUGGGAUGAGCUUUUAAAUAUAGUUCUAAAAAUUUUUUGUUAUUAAAAUUUAGUAUGAUUAGUAUUGUUAGUCUUUAAAAUAAUUUUAUAGUUAGGUUUUGUUUUAGAUUUUAUUUAUAUUGGUUUUAGGUUUUAUAUUGAAAUAUAUUGUUUAAUUUUUUUUCUUUAGAAAUAAUAAUUAAAUUAGUAAAUUUUUUUUUGUAUAAUGUAUUAAUAGGUGGCAGGUUUGUGAAAGGAAUUCGGCAAAUUUAAUUUUUCGCCUGUUUAUUAAAAACAUGUCUUUUUGAAUAUAAUUUAAGGUUUAAUCUGCUCAAUGAGGAUUUAAAUUGCCGCGGUAUUAUGACCGUGCAAAGGUAGCAUAAUAAUUAGUUUCUUUAUUGGAAGCUGGAAUGAAUGAUUGGACGAGAAAAUUACUGUCUCUUAUGAAUUUUAUGUUGAAUUUAACCUUUAAGUUAAAAGGCUUAAAUUUUUAUUAAAGACGAGAAGACCCUAUAGAGUUUAAUAAAUUGUAUUUUUGAGUUUUUUGGAAUUUAUUAAACUUGAAUUUUUAUAUUUAUUUAGUUGGGGUGACUAGAAGAUUUAAUGAACUCUUUAAUUUUUAUAAUCAUUGAUUUGUGAAUAUUUAAUCUGAUUUUUUCAAAUUUAAGAUAAAUUACCUUAGGGAUAACAGCGUAAUUUUCUUUUAAAGUUCUUAUUGAAAGGGAAGUUUGCGACCUCGAUGUUGGAUUAAAAUUAAUUUUUGGCGCAGAAGCUUUAUAAUUAAGUCUGUUCGACUUUUAAAAUUUUACAUGAUCUGAGUUUAAACCGGUGUGAGCCAGGUUGGUUUCUAUCUUAAUAGUUUUAUGACAUUUUAGUACGAAAGGACCGAAUGUUAAAUAUAUUUAUUUUCUUUUUGAAUAUUAUU
rnacentral:rRNA from 1 species